rnacentral:tRNA from 1 species
CAGGUAGACUAUUGCUGUUAGCGGCUUGGUCAGCGACAAGCUCUGCAGUUUGCGCAAUGCCAACGCCUUUUUCGUU